CAUUUCAUCUCCAUUCUCAACCCUAGGCAUUAGGACUUCCUCGCCAUUACUCACUUCCUCACCGUCACUCACUUCUGCGUCGCUCUUCACCCACUUCGUUGCUCUUCACUCCUUCAGGCUUCAGGCCUUCAGCUCUUCUCCAAGUCUCAAAGGCUGUCAAGGACCACAUCCUCUGCUCAGCUUCGCCGGUAAGUCGCAGUCACAGAUCGUCCGGUCAUUCGCCGUCGCUCACCAAGACACCAACCCUCCUCAUUUAUCUCGGUCGCCUCGCCGCUGUCGCUCACGGAGCUCAUGUCAGCGUCGCUCCCACUUCUCGCGUCACUAUCCUCGCCGACUUGCCUCUCCAAUCUGUGGUCUCUGGUCUGUGCUCACCUUGUCGUCCCUCCUUCCUUCGUCGUCGUCUCUUUGGUGACUGGUUUAAAUCUUGAUUUGCAAACUUUUAAUGAUGAUGAAGAUGUUGAAAGUGAUCAAGAAUAAGGGUUGAAAAUUCCUUUAUAUCUAAUAUUGUAAUUUCUUUAUUAUGGACUUAUGG